UACGUAGGGUGCAAGCGUUGUCCGGAAUUAUUGGGCGUAAAGAGCUCGUAGGCGGUUUGUUGCGUCGGCUGUGAAAUCCCGAGGCUCAACCUCGGGUCUGCAGUCGAUACGAGCAAACUAGAGUGUUGCAGGGGAGACUGGAAUUCCUGGUGUAGCGGUGAAAUGCGCAGAUAUCAGGAGGAACACCGGUGGCGAAGGCGGAUCUCUGGGCCAUUACUGACGCUGAGGAGCGAAAGCGUGGGGAGCGAACAGG
rnacentral:rRNA from 1 species